rnacentral:rRNA from 1 species
AUUGAACGCUGGCGGCAGGCCUAACACAUGCAAGUCGAACGAGUGGCGGACGGGUGAGUAAUGUCUGGGAAACUGCCUGAUGGAGGGGGAUAACUACUGGAAACGGUAGCUAAUACCGCAUACCAUCCGAUGUUCCCAGAUGGGAUUAGCUUGUUGGUGGGGUAACGGCUCACCCAGGAGACGAUCCCUAGCUGGUCUGAGAGGCUGACGAGCCACACUGGAACGGAGAUACGGUCCAGACUCCUACGGGAUGCAGCAGUGGGGAAUAUUGCACAAUGGGCGCAAGCCUGAUGAAGCCAUGCCGCGUGUAUGAAGAAGGCCUUCGGGUUGUAAAGUACUUUGAGCGGGGAUGCGUUACCCGCAGAAGAAGCACCGGCUAUCUCCGUGCCAGCCGCCGCGGUAAUUC